AGAAAUUAGGUAAUACGAAUUACCCUAAUUUCUCCCCCAUUCCAGUCGAUUGCUCCCCGUCCGGCGAGCUUCUGGAACUGCAUUCUGCGCGCUCUUCAACUACAGAGCGUGCCCACAUUUUCACAGGACCAAUCGGGGUCAUAUAUAACAGUUACAGCUCCUAUCCUUCAUCGAUAUCUUUAGAAUCCCUUUGAGAAUGAAGCGAUUUUUGUUGGACGAAUACAGGCGGCUCGAACUUCUGUAUCAGCAGGGAGUUAUAGUUGGAGUCCUGAUGACCUCUACCGACGAUCGAUGCAACGAACGACCGUUUAUUCACAUUAUUUGAGCAUCCGAACCAUCUGUUGUUUGAUGUAAAGAAGAGGCUGAUGUUGCUGCAGAAAACUGAAACCACUGCAUUGAGUAUUUGGGUAUUGGAUGUCAUAGGAUAUAUGGGUAUUAUGUACCCUAUUGUAAAGUCUCUGGUUGAGUUGUGAUGGCUUGAAUGAUGGAAUAC
rnacentral:lncRNA from 1 species